GAUGAACGCUGGCGGCGUGCCUAAUACAUGCAAGUCGAGCGAACGGACGAGAAGCUUGCUUCUCUGAUGUUAGCGGCUGACGGGUGAGUAACACGUGGAUAACCUACCUAUAUGACUUGGAUAACUUCGGGAAACCGGAGCUAAUACCGGAUGAUAUUUUGAACCGCAUGGUUCAAAAGUGAAAGACGGUCUUGCUGUCACUUAUAGAUGGAUCCGCGCUGCAUUAGCUAGUUGGUAAGGUAACGGCUUACCAAGGCAACGAUGCAUAGCCGACCUGAGAGGAUGAUCGGCCACACUGGAACUGAGACACGGUCCAGACUCCUACGGGAGGCAGCAGUAGGGAAUAUUCCGCAAUGGGCGAAAGCCUGACGGAGCAACGCCGCGUGAGUGAUGAAGGUCUUCGGAUCGUAAAACUCUGUUAUUAGGGAAGAACAGAUGUGUAAGUAACUGUGCACAUCUUGACGGUACCUAAUCAGAAAGCCACGGCUAACUACGUG
rnacentral:rRNA from 1 species